CUGGUUUUAGCUCAGUUGGUAGGGCGGAAGACUGUAGUGUUCGCAAUCUUUAUCCUAGUUUGACUCUGACAAGCCGGA